GCCCUCUGCACACAAGUGAAUGCGUUAAGUUACAUUAGGUGCCACCAUUUGCAUGUCACUCAUAUAAAGUUCUUGUGAUCUUUCUUGUUCUGAUUUUUAACUUAGCAAGCAUGACAUGACUUACAUAAAG
rnacentral:lncRNA from 1 species